rnacentral:rRNA from 1 species
UACGUAGGGUGCGAGCGUUGUCCGGAAUUAUUGGGCGUAAAGAGCUCGUAGGCGGUCUGUUGCGUCGAAUGUGAAAACCCGGGGCUCAACUCCGGGCUUGCAUUCGAUACGGGCAGACUAGAGUUUGGUAGGGGAGACUGGAAUUCCUGGUGUAGCGGUGAAAUGCGCAGAUAUCAGGAAGAACACCAAUGGCGAAGGCAGCUCUCUGGGACGGUACUGACGCUGAGACGCGAAAGCGUGGGGAGCAAACAGG